GACUUGGUAGGCUAGGUGGUAAACACAGCACUUCUAGUAUAGUGAGCUAAGGUUGCUGGUUCAAAUCCUGCCCAAGUCA
rnacentral:tRNA from 1 species